rnacentral:rRNA from 1 species
GGUUGAUCCUGCCAGUAGUCGUAUGCUUGUCUCGAAGAUUAAGCCAUGCAUGUAAAGUUCAAGCUCCGAUUUGUGAGGGCGAAACCGCGAAUGGCUCAUUAAAUCAGUCAUAAUCUACUUGAUUGUUUGAAGGUUAUAUGGAUAACUGUGGUAAUUCUAGAGCUAAUACAUGUUUAAAUGGGACGACUCUUGCAAGAGAGAAGUUUUGCGUUUAUUAGACUAAGACUAAUGUUUGCUUCGGUAAACUUCGUUAAGGUGACUCUGAAUAAAUAAUGGGUGAAAGCCCAUGUUG